CGAUACAUGUAUAUGAUCAUGUUCACGUGCAUUGACAAGCGCUCCACUCAUAAGGUGGCGGCGAUGUAAACCUCAAGAGUUAAGAUUUAUACGAGCAAAUAAGGCCGGUCAUUUAGAGCCCGGAAUCCAUAGGAUCGAAACCCGAAACAUCCGUCCCCGUCAAGCAAGCUGAAACUUUUGAGGUCAGGGUAUUUUUUUUACAAAAAUUCGCAGGUACGCCGUGAAUCCUGGAUACACGCCACCCUUCCCCCGAAAGCAAGCCCCGCCGGCCGAUUCUCACUUCUAAAAAGUUAAAAAGGGAUAAAGGUUUUUCUUUUUUUUUGGGGGUGGUGAACCUUCCCCGUGUGGGCCCCGAAUAUACGCCGCUCUCUCUUGGUGGGCCCCCGGCCCACGCGAUCACCGGCCGCGUACAACAUCUAUCUUCGACUCUUUCGGCGUGUUCGCUGACCGGCACCUUCCCCGCCCGCCCCCGCCCGCGAGAAAAUAUCUGACCAUGCCAAGAAUCUUUCAAAAAAACAUCUGAUGACUUUUUCGGAGUUGCGUAAUAUCUGAAGCAGAAUUCGGGACGGGGAUUCGCGAAGAGGAGAAAGAGAGAGAGAGAGGGGGGAAAAGGAGGGCGAUUAUCUAUCGGUAAUUUAUAUAGUGAGACAUUAGCAGUUGACAGCGAAAGGAAACCCAACAAAUCCACAGAGAGGGAGAAAGACAGCCAAAUUAUCUUAUAUCCAUCGAAGAGGUUGCAGGAAUACCGCAUGACAUCGUCAAUUUCUGGAACUUCGUCAAUUUGUCGCUAAUGAUCUUUUUUCAGCUGUAAUUUGUGGUUUGAAUUUAGAAUUUGAUAUGGUUGAGAAUGUGGAAAUUGGAGAGCAGAAACAGAGGGUUGAAGCUUUCAAAGCUGCCAAGAGGAAAACUUGAAUCUAUGAUGACAAGUAAGCCAAAUAUUCUUAUCCCUAUUGGUAUAUGCAUAAACUCAACUUAUUAUUAGCACUGUCAUUUUUAGAUUCAGUGAUGACCCUGCAUUGGAGAAGAAAAUACUUGCACAAUAUGACGAUCCGGCUCAAGAUGAGAUUCUCGUAAGCCUGACACAGAAGAUGUCUUCAUGGAUGAAGACGAAGCACCAUUAACAUCUGAUAAUGAAGUAAAAGGUGAGCCCGGAGGCUGGACAGAAUUUAAAGAAUUUGGUAAUGAUGAAGGUCCUGUUAAUGAGGAUGAGGAGGAAGUUGUUCCGGAUGAGACAAUUCAUGAAGCAGCAGUGGAGAAAGGGCUGUCGGGUGCCCUAAAGCUGCUCAAGGAACGGGGAACACUUAAAGAAAUUGUUGAGUGGGGUGGAAGAAACAUGGAUAAGAAGAAAAGCUUGUAGGCAUUGCAGAUGAUAAACAGAAAGAGAUCCGCAUUGAAAGGACAUGAAUUUGGCCGAAUAAUAUAUCACUUGCUACUGGUUUCACCGAGGGGAUGAUUAGGAACUCCAAGGACGAGGAUCUAAAGAAUUUCUGCAGCUUUCGAGUGUGUAGAUAUACAAACAAAAUCGACAUCAGUUAACUAUCAAUUAGUUUUGGAAAUCAAAACAAUCUUGAAUUUUUAAUUCUUGUUAUAAAGAAUAUGGUGGCUCUUAAUUCUCAC